AGGACGAACGCUGGCGGCGUGCUUAACACAUGCAAGUCGUGGGCAUCUCGCAAGGGAUGACCGGCGAACGGGUGCGUAACACGUGAGCGACCUACCGAUGCGCGGGGGAUAGCCGGCCCAACGGCCGGGUAAUACCGCAUACGCCAUUCUAGCUGCAUGGCUUGAAUGGGAAACCUCCGGGGCGGAUCGAGGGGCUCGCGACCUAUCAGCUAGUUGGCGGGGUAACGGCCCACCAAGGCGACGACGGGUAGCUGGUCUGAGAGGAUGGCCAGCCACAUUGGGAUUGAGAACGGCCCAGACUCCUACGGGGGGCAGCAGUGAGGAAUUUUUCCGCAAUGGGCGCAAGCCUGACGGAGCAACGCCGCGUGCAGGAAGACGGUUUUCGGAUCGUAAACUGCUUUUUCUCGGGGACGAGAACGGACGGUACCCGAGGAAUCAGCCCCGGCUAACUACGUGCCAGCAGCCGC
rnacentral:rRNA from 1 species